rnacentral:tRNA from 1 species
AGGCCGCGCUCCGGGAGCAGCCUGGACUCCAAAUCCGGGCGUGCGGGGUUCAACUCCUCGGCGGCCUGCCA